UUUGAUAGAAAUCUAUCUCCAUAUUUUUAUCCAAAACGUCAAUAAUGACGUGGCCGGCCAAUCAGAAAGCGAUCCAAAAUCAAAACAAACCGAAAAUCUGAAACUAGCUAAUAAGCUAAAAGCCAGUAAAACGACACGGAAAGUAUUUUGAAAGCUUGCUAAUUCAACAGAGAAACAAAGAAACCGUUAUGUAAGUCAGAUGUUGAUCCGUCUUCAAUAAAAUAUCCGUUACUUUGAACAUUUUGCUAAUAGCUUAGCUAGCUGUAGAAAAUGCCUUACUGGAUCUGCUGUAACUCCUGCUUCAACCUCCCUGGUCCUGACUGCCAACUAGCUGUUGCCAGCUGUGGUCAUGUCAUCUGCAACGUGUGUUUUCAGAAAGGUAGCAAGUUCAGUCUCUAUUUGAUUGUGCUAAUGCACCCUGUUAUGUCUCUUGUGAAAUUAAGUUCAACAUAUCAUUGCCUAACUACUGAUGAUAUAGGCCUAACGUCAUAUGAACCAAAAAUAUAUUACUUUGUCAGUUUGCUGCAGUUCUGUCUUUUUCAAAACAGUUACAGGCUAAACUUGAAAACACUGUCCUCUGCUGGUCUUUGUCUGAUGUUACAGAAACAGUUUGGCCAAAAGAAAAAAUGCUCCAUGCAGUUUGAGGGCCUCCUAGUAGUGUAAUACUCUGCUAUUCUAUUGUAUAUGGUAUUGUUCCAAUAAACACAUUUUCAUUUUUCUUUCAGGCAAACAAGGGGAAUGCAUGAUAUGUAAAGCAAAAUGUCAAGUUACUCCUCUCUCAGACAAAAGUAGUGCAGAAGUGAAGGCCCUCUUCUCUGACAUCAAUUCUGUUGCAACCAAACACUUCACAGAGAUAAGCAAGGUGUUACUAUUCCAGGCAAGGCACCAAAAGAGGCUGUUGGUGCAUUACCAGAAGAGGAAUGAAAAGUUAGAACAAGUUUUACUCAAGAUGAAGCAAGAAAUUCAGCAAAUGUCCAAAAAAAUUACAGCGCAGAAUGCAUAUAUUGCCAAGCUGGAGAGCACUCUUCAGCAUCAAAGGUAUUUAUCUUUAUAGGUGUUACUGCGUUCUACUCACAAGGUGUCACUAUUGUCAGCUUUGUUUCUCAAACAUGAGACCAUGGAGGGGACUAAUUUGUUAUCAACAUAUUGUUUAUUCAGAUUAACCCGUUAGUAUUAAUGGCACCUUGUGACUCUCUGCUGCUCUCUCCCUCGCUCCGCUGACACUAAUGUCGUGUUCAAAUCAACUGGGAAAUCGGAAAUCUCUGACUUCCGACUUCAGUGCGUUCAAGACAACUGAGAAAUUAGAAAAAAACUAGAUCCGACUCGGAAAAAUAAUUUUGAACUGUCACCCAAUUCGGAAUUCCAAGUUGGAAACUCUGUCAUCUUUCUAGAGCUCCGACUUAACGACCAGAAGAUCACUGACGUCAUGAUUUGGCCUUGUUUAUUCCCCCAGUUGUCUUGAAAGCACAAUGACCAUCAGAUGCAGGUACCAUCAAUCCAGUAAACAAAUAAAGCAAAUUAUUUCAAUUUAUGCUCAGCUGUGCCUCGCAAGUGCUACACCAAUUGAUUUAUUUUGUUAUCAAAGCUGGAGUUUUGAAAUAUAAUAUGGUCUGAGAAUAACAAUAUUGGCAGGCCAGGCAUAUAACCAAUAUGCUGUGAUACUGUAUUAGGCCUACUGCACAAACCUCAUUUUUAUUAGGUUAAUGUACAUUUUUAAACACAACUUAAAAAAUGUAUCUUGAAAAGUUUGGUGACCACUGGCCUAGCUCAUAUUAGCUUUAGCUGCUGUUUGGUUUUGCCCUGCAGUAGCACACCCGUCUCACCUGAAUAAGCCGGGGAGGCUUGUGAACAUUAUGUCUGAGUGAGCAUUUCCAUAAUCUUUCUUCCUGGGUUCUAUGAGAAUUAAAUGCGACAUGCCAUGUUAUGUGAUUUCCCCUCAGGGCAGAAAACAUUGAAGUGGAUGGCAGGGGUCUGUUUAGGAAAGUAUGUGAACCUUUUCAAUUCAAAUAUGGUUCAUUUUGACAUUGAAUUAUUGCACUACAAAUGCUUACUUUGUUUAAUAUUAAAUUAAAU